AGAGUUGAUCCUGGCUCAGGACGAACGCUGGCGGCGUGCCUAACACAUGCAAGUCGAGCGAGUGAAUUCCUUCGGGAGUGAAGCUAGCGGCGGACGGGUGAGUAACACGUGGGCAACCUGCCUCAUAGAGGGGAAUAGCCUUCGAAAGGAAGAUUAAUACCGCAUAAGAUUGUAGCUUCGCAUGAAGUAGCAAUUAAAGGAGCAAUCCGCUAUGAGAUGGGCCCGCGGCGCAUUAGCUAGUUGGUGAGGUAACGGCUCACCAAGGCGACGAUGCGUAGCCGACCUGAGAGGGUGAUCGGCCACAUUGGGACUGAGACACGGCCCAGACUCCUACGGGAGGCAGCAGUGGGGAAUAUUGCACAAUGGGGGAAACCCUGAUGCAGCAACGCCGCGUGAGUGAUGACGGACUUCGGGUUGUAAAGCUCUGUCUUCAGGGACGAUAAUGACGGUACCUGAGGAGGAAGCCACGGCUAACUACGUGCCAGCAGCCGCGGUAAUACGUAGGUGGCGAGCGUUGUCCGGAUUUACUGGGCGUACAGGGAGCGUAAGCGGACUUUUAAGUGAGAUGUGAAAUACCCGGGCUCAACUUGGGUGCUGCAUUUCAAACUGGAAGUCUAGAGUGCAGGAG
rnacentral:rRNA from 1 species